rnacentral:rRNA from 1 species
CGGAGGGUGCGAGCGUUGUCCGGAAUCACUGGGCGUAAAGGGCGCGUAGGCGGCUUCUUAAGCGGGUGGUGAAAGCUCGGGGCUCAACCUCGAGUCGGCCAUGCGAACUGGGAAGCUCGAGCACUGUAGAGGCAGGCGGAAUUCCGGGUGUAGCGGUGGAAUGCGUAGAGAUCCGGAAGAACACCGGUGGCGAAGGCGGCCUGCUGGGCAGUAGCUGACGCUGAGGCGCGACAGCGUGGGAGCAAACAGGAUU